GAUGAACGCUAGCGAUAGGCUUAACACAUGCAAGUCGAGGGGCAGCAUGGUCUUAGCUUGCUAAGACUGAUGGCGACCGGCGCACGGGUGCGUAACGCGUAUGCAACUUGCCUCACAGAGGGGGAUAACCCGUCGAAAGACGGACUAAUACCGCGUACACUUGGGAUAGGGCAUCCUGACCCAAGGAAAUGAAAUUCGCUGUGAGAUAGGCAUGCGUCCCAUUAGCUAGUUGGUGAGGUAACGGCUCACCAAGGCGACGAUGGGUAGGGGAACUGAGAGGUUGAACCCCCACACUGGUACUGAGACACGGACCAGACUCCUACGGGAGGCAGCAGUGAGGAAUAUUGGUCAAUGGGCGAGAGCCUGAACCAGCCAAGUCGCGUGAAGGAUGACUGUCUUAUGGAUUGUAAACUCCUUUUAUACGGGAAUAACAAGAGCCACGUGUGGCUCCCUGCAUGUACCGUAUGAAUAAGCAUCGGCUAACUCCGUG
rnacentral:rRNA from 1 species